CUCCCCUGUUGGUGCACGCACGCAUGUACUUUCUCAAAACAAAAAGAAAAAAAAAGUAUGUACACAGUGUGCUAAAAUUUUUGGAGGAAUGGGAGAACAUAAGUAUAUUUGUAUGCUUAAUAAGCAGGAGGCAGGGAGAAUGGAAUUGAUGGGGACAGGUAGGAGCAAGACUUUUCAAAGUAUACCUUUUUAUAUUGUUUUGAUUUUUGAAUCAUUGACUCUAUUAUCUUAUAGAGGCCUGAGGCAAAAAGUAUUUCUUUGUUGAUCAUUAAGGCCGGAGUAAAUUUCCUAUGAACUUCCCAAAGGAAAGGUAGUAAAUCUUAGACCAAACUGCAAGUUCCCAUUAACUCUCACCAUAAAUUUCAGUGCACAAAUUGGAGCCCCUCCUAAAAACUCUGCUAAGCCACAAUGGCAACAUGUGACAGGUGAGAUGGGCAGAAAGUCACAUAAAAGAGCAGUGAAUAUCCACAGCUUUGCUAAUUCCACCAAGAUGUCAAACAAAUAUGGACUUCAUACUAACUCUCUGGCCUAAGCUAGGGGAACUCUUGCAACAUAGCCAUUCUAAAUCUCUUUGGAUUUAACCCAAGGGAAACUUGAAUUUAAACUUAAUAUGCUAGGGGCACCUGGUUGAGCAUCCAUUCUACUUAGGCUCAGGUCACGAUCUCACAGCUCGUGGGUUCGAGCUCCUCGUCAGGCUCUGUGUUGACAGCUCACAGCCUGAAGCCUGCUUCGGAUUCUGUGUCUCCCUCUCUGCUCUUCUCUCUCUCUCUCUCAAAAAUAAACAUUAAAUUUUUUUUUAAUAUGCUAGAAGUCCACAACCCCUCAAGGCCAAAAAACAAAAUGCUCUGAAAACACAACCCUGAAGAAGCUCAAGAACUUUCCAGCUUCAUCUGUCUUAAAACACCAGCUUGGCAAUGGACAGAUCAUCUAAACAGAAAAUCAACAAGGAAACAAUGGCUUUGAAUGACACACUGGACCGAAUGGACUUAAUGGAUACAUUUAGAACAUUUCAUCCUAAAGCAGUGGAAUACACAUUCUUCUCAAGUGCACAUGGAACAUUCACCAGAAAAGAUCACAUACUGGGACACAAAUCAGCCCUCAACAAGUACAAAAAGACUGAGAUCAUACCGUGCAUAUUUUCAGACCACAACACUAUGAAACUCGCAAUCAACCACAAGAAAAAAUGUGGAAAGAUAACAAAUAGUUGGAGACUAAAAUUUUUUCUGUUCUUAUAAGACUGUGUUAAAAUAAAUCAGCAAGCCAUAGA